AUGCGAAGGUGGCGGAAUUGGUAGACGCGCUAGCUUCAGGUGUUAGUGUCCUUACGGACGUGGGGGUUCAAGUCCCCCCCCUCGCAC
rnacentral:tRNA from 1 species